rnacentral:rRNA from 1 species
AGAGUUUGAUCAUGGCUCAGAUUGAACGCUGGCGGCAUGCCUUACACAUGCAAGUCGAACGGCAGCACGGGAGCAAUCCUGGUGGCGAGUGGCGAACGGGUGAGUAAUGCAUCGGAACGUGCCAUUGAGUGGGGGAUAACGUAGCGAAAGUUACGCUAAUACCGCAUAUUCUGUGCGCAGGAAAGCAGGGGAUCGCAAGACCUUGCGCUCUUUGAGCGGCCGAUGUCAGAUUAGCUAGUUGGUGAGGUAAAGGCUCACCAAGGCGACGAUCUGUAGCGGGUCUGAGAGGAUGAUCCGCCACACUGGGACUGAGACACGGCCCAGACUCCUACGGGAGGCAGCAGUGGGGAAUUUUGGACAAUGGGGGCAACCCUGAUCCAGCCAUGCCGCGUGAGUGAAGAAGGCCUUCGGGUUGUAAAGCUCUUUCGGCCGGGAAGAAAUCGCACAGGUUAAUACCCUGUGUGGAUGACGGUACCGGACUAAGAAGCACCGGCUAACUACGUGCCAGCAGCCGCGGUAAUACGUAGGGUGCGAGCGUUAAUCGGAAUUACUGGGCGUAAAGCGUGCGCAGGCGGUUUUGUAAGACAGGCGUGAAAUCCCCGGGCUCAACCUGGGAACUGCGUUUGUGACUGCAAGGCUAGAGUAUGGCAGA